CCAAUGGCACUGCCCGGUAGCUACGUUCGGAACUGAUAAGCGCUGAAAGCAUCUAAGCGCGAAGCAGGCCUCGAGAUGAGUUCUCACUAGACUUUUAAAGUCUCUGAAGGGCCGUUGAAGACUACAACGUUGAUAGGCAGGAUGUGGAAGUGGUGCGAGCCAUUAAGCUAACCUGUACUAAUUACCCGUGAGGCUUAACCAUACAACGCCAAACGCGUUU
rnacentral:rRNA from 1 species